UACAGAGGUCCCAAGCGUUGUUCGGAUUCACUGGGCGUAAAGGGUGCGCAGGCGCCAAGUGGUGUUAGGCGUGAAAGCCUGGGGCUUAACCCAGAAUUGCACCUAAAACUACAUGGCUAGAGCAUUGGAGAGGGUAGCGGAAUUCACGGUGUAGCAGUGAAAUGCGUAGAUAUCGUGAGGACACCAGAGGCGAAGGCGGCUACCUGGACAAUUGCUGACGCUCAGGCACGAAAGCGUGGGGAGCGAACGG
rnacentral:rRNA from 1 species